rnacentral:rRNA from 1 species
AGGAUUCCCCCAGUAACGGCGAGUGAAGAGGGAACAGCCCAAAUUUGUAAUCUGGCCCUUUUGGGGUCCGAGUUGUAAUCUCGAGAACUGUUUUCCGUGCCGGACCAUGUACAAGUCUGUUGGAAUAUAGCUUCAUAGAGGGUGAGAAUCCCGUACAUGACAUGGACCGCCGGUGCUUUGCGAUACAGUCUCUAAGAGUCGAGUUGUUUGGGAAUGCAGCUCAAAUUGGGUGGUAAAUUCCAUCUAAGGCUAAAUAUUGGCGAGAGACCGAUAGCGAACAAGUACCGUGAGGGAAAGAUGAAAAGCACUUUGGAAAGAGAGUUAACAGUACGUGAAAUUGUUAAAAGGGAAACGCUUGAAGUCAGCCUUGUUCUUGGUUGUUCAGCCUUAGGGCGUAUUCAACUUUGAGCAGGCCAGCAUCAGUUUUGGGUGCCGGAUAAGGGCUUAGGAAAUGUGGCAGCUUAGGCUGUGUUAUAGUCCUUUGCUUGAUACGGUGCCUGGGACUGAGGAACGCAGCGAGCCUUUUGGCGGGUCCCCUCGGGGGCCUUCUCGCUUUGGAUGCUGGCGUAAUGGCUUUAAACGACCCGUCUUGAAACACGGACCAAGGAGUCUAACAUGCUUGCGAGUAUUUGGGUGGCAAACCCGGAUGCGUAAUGAAAGUGAAUGAAGGUGGGAACCGCAAGGUGCACCAUCGACCGGUCCGGAUUUUUAAUGAUGGAUCCGAGUAAGAGCAAGUACGUUGGGACCCGAAAGAUGGUGAACUAUGCCUGAAUAGGGUGAAGCCAGAGGAAACUCUGG